GACGAACGCUGGCAGCGUGCUUAACACAUGCAAGUCGAGCGGUAAGGCCCUUUCGGGGGUACACGAGCGGCGAACGGGUGAGUAACACGUGGGUGACCUGCCCUCAGCUCUGGGAUAAGCCUGGGAAACCGGGUCUAAUACUGGAUAUGACUCCAUGACGCAUGUUGUGGGGUGGAAAGCCUUGUGCGGCUGAGGAUGGGCCCGCGGCCUAUCAGCUUGUUGGGGGGUGAUGGCCUACCAAGGCGACGACGGGUAGCCGGCCUGAGAGGACGACCGGCCACACUGGGGCUGAGACACGGCCCAGACUCCUACGGGAGGCAGCAGUGGGGAAUCUUGCGCAAUGGGCGAAAGCCUGACGCAGCGACGCCGCGUGA
rnacentral:rRNA from 1 species